UACGGGGGGGGCAAGCGUUGUUCGGAAUUACUGGGCGUAAAGGGCUCGUAGGCGGCCAACUAAGUCAGACGUGAAAUCCCUCGGCUUAACCGGGGAACUGCGUCUGAGACUGGAUGGCUCGAGUGUGGGAGAGGGAUGCGGAAUUCCAGGUGUAGCGGUGAAAUGCGCAGAUAUCAGGAGGAACACCGGUGGCGAAGGCGGGACUCUGGGCCGAUACUGACGCUGAGGAGCGAAAGCGUGGGGAGCGAACAGG
rnacentral:rRNA from 1 species